UGGGGAAUAUUGGGCAAUGGGCGCAAGCCUGACCCAGCAACGCCGCGUGAAGGAAGAAGGCUUUCGGAUUGUAAACUUCUUUUGUCAGGGACGAAGAAAGUGACGGUACCUGACGAAUAAGCUCCGGCUAACUACGUGCCAGCAGCCGCGGUAAUACGUAGGGAGCGAGCGUUGUCCGGAUUUACUGGGUGUAAAGGGUGCGUAGGCGGCCGAGCAAGUCAGUUGUGAAAACUAUGGGCUUAACCCAUAACGUGCAAUUGAAACUGUCCGGCUUGAGUGAAGUAGAGGUAGGCGGAAUUCCCGGUGUAGCGGUGAAAUGCGUAGAGAUCGGGAGGAACACCAGUGGCGAAGGCGGCCUACUGGGCUUUAACUGACGCUGAGGCACGAAAGCAUGGGUAGCAAACAGGAUUAGAUACCCUGGUAGUCCAUGCCGUAAACGAUGAAUACUAGGUGUGCGGGGACUGACCCCCUGCGUGCCGCAGUUAACACAAUAAGUAUUCCACCUGGGGAGUACGAUCGCAAGGUUGAAACUCAAAGGAAUUGACGGGGGCCCGCACAAGCGGUGGAUUAUGUGGUUUAAUUCGAAGCAACGCGAAGAACCUUACCAGGGUUUGACAUCCUGCUAACGAAGUAGAGAUACAUUAGGUGCCCUUCGGGGAAAGCAGAGACAGGUGGUGCAUGGUUGUCGUCAGCUCGUGUCGUGAGAUGUUGGGUUAAGUCCCGCAACGAGCGCAACCCCUAUUGUUAGUUGCUACGCAAGAGCACUCUAGCGAGACUGCCGUUGACAAAACGGAGGAAGGUGGGGACGACGUCAAAUCAUCAUGCCCCUUAUGACCUGGGCUACACACGUACUACAAUGGCCAUUAACAGAGGGAAGCAAAACCGCGAGGCAGAGCAAACCCCUAAAAAUGGUCCCAGUUCGGAUUGUAGGCUGCAACCCGCCUACAUGAAGUUGGAAUUGCUAGUAAUCGCGGAUCAGCAUGCCGCGGUGAAUACGUUCCC
rnacentral:rRNA from 1 species